rnacentral:rRNA from 1 species
AUUGAACGCUAGCGGCAUGCUUUACACAUGCAAUUCGAACGAGUGGCGGACGGGUGAGUAAUGUCUCGGAACCUGCCCAGUAGCGGGGGAUAACUACUCGAAACAGUGGCUAAUACCGCAUACUAUUGGAUGUGCCCAUAUCGGAUUAGCUAGUUGGUGGGGUAACGGCUCACCAAGGCAACGAUCCCUAGCUGGUGUGAGAGGACGACCAGCCACACUGGGACUGAGACACGGCCCAGACUCCUACGGGAGGCAGCAGUGGGGAAUUUUGGACAAUGGGAGAAAGCCUGAUCCAGCCAUGCCGCGUGUAUGAGAAGGCCUUCGGGUUGUAAAGUACUUUUGGCAGGGAAGCGGUAUCUGCAGAAGAAGCACCGGCUAACUACGUGCCAGCAGCCGCGGUAAUUC